UAAAUAACAAUCGAUAUGUUGCUUUUGUGACAUUUCGGAGUUGGGUCAUCUUAAUCUUACUUUCUAAGGGACCUAAAAUUGAUGUUCUUGCGCAUCUUGACGUGUAUAAUUUCUUUAUCUCGUCACUUGGAUGGCCGGAUAUUAUUAGGUGUGACCAUGUUAAGUGGUUUUUUAUGCCUAUAAGGAUUCUUGAUU
rnacentral:misc_RNA from 1 species